rnacentral:misc_RNA from 1 species
AAGUCGUAACAAGGUUUCCGUAGGUGAACCUGCGGAAGGAUCAUUAACACGUAUCCAAACGUUACAACCCUCCCUGAACAUUCAUCCUGCUCUUGUAACCCGCGAAGCUUGCAAUCUCUGGUAAAUCAUAGCCCGGAAAGUAGUUUUGAUUCAGAGACCUCUGGCCCGUGCGAAUAUUGGAACAGUUACAAUUUUGAGCGGUAGUUCUAUAGGCCUUGUUUCCCCAAGCAGUCAGUGUCUGAAUAACGCUUCACGAUUCUUGUAGACCGCAUCUCGCGGGCAGGAGCUAGGCCAAAGGGUCCCCAUGCCCCCUUACAACCCCACAGUUUAAUUGAAGCUCCAUGUAAUACAUUGGGUAAAAAAACCGAACAACUGUUAACAAUGGAUAUCUUGGUUCUC